UCCCUGGUGGUCCAAUGGCUAAGACUCUGCCUUCCCAAUGCAGGCGGCUGGGGUUCAAUCCCUGAUCAGGGAA
rfam:Ovis aries breed Texel chromosome 11, whole genome shotgun sequence.